CUUCGGGGUGUGACUGCGUACCUUUUGUAUAAUGGGUCAGCGACUUAUAUUCUGUAGCAAGGUUAACCGAAUAGGGGAGCCGGAGGGAAACCGAGUCUUAAUUGGGCGUUAAGUUGCAGGGUAUAGACCCGAAACCCGGUGAUCUAGCCAUGGGCAGGUUGAAGGUUGGGUAACACUAACUGGAGGACCGAACCGACUAAUGUUGAAAAAUUAGCGGAUGACCUGUGGCUGGGGGUGAAAGGCCAAUCAAACCGGGAGAUAGCUGGUUCUCCCCGAAAGCUAUUUAGGUAGCGCCUCGUGAACUCAUCUCCGGGGGUAGAGCACUGUUUCGGCUAGGGGGCCAUCCCGGCUUACCAACCCGAUGCAAACUGCGAAUACCGGAGAAUGUUAUCACGGGAGACACACGGCGGGUGCUAACGUCCGUCGUGAAGAGGGAAACAACCCAGACCGCCAGCUAAGGUCCCAAAGUCAUGGUUAAGUGGGAAACGAUGUGGGAAGGCCCAGACAGCCAGGAUGUUGGCUUAGAAGCAGCCAUCAUUUAAAGAAAGCGUAAUAGCUCACUGGUCGAGUCGGCCUGCGCGGAAGAUGUAACGGGGCUAAACCAU
rnacentral:rRNA from 1 species